UUUUACAACUCUACAUGCAGGCAUUAUUACUUCUAUGUUAUGGAUGGAGAAACUGAGACUUAGAGAGUUGGUCAAUCAGGACUCAACAAUACCAACCUCACCAACAUCAGUAGGACUACCUCUAUCAUCAGUAUCAUCAUCACCACCCUCAGUAACAUUCCCAACAAAAACUACCAUCGUGGCUCCUAACCAGCACCACUUCCACA
rnacentral:lncRNA from 1 species